CCCUUCGGCAGCCUAUACAUGCAGUCGAGCGGACAGAAGGGAGCUUGCUCCCGGAUGUUAGCGGCGGACGGGUGAGUAACACGUGGGUAACCUGCCUGUAAGACUGGGAUAACUCCGGGAAACCGGAGCUAAUACCGGAUAGUUCCUUGAACCGCAUGGUUCAAGGAUGAAAGACGGUUUCGGCUGUCACUUACAGAUGGACCCGCGGCGCAUUAGCUAGUUGGUGAGGUAACGGCUCACCAAGGCGACGAUGCGUAGCCGACCUGAGAGGGUGAUCGGCCACACUGGGACUGAGACACGGCCCAGACUCCUACGGGAGGCAGCAGUAGGGAAUCUUCCGCAAUGGACGAAAGUCUGACGGAGCAACGCCGCGUGAGUGAUGAAGGUUUUCGGAUCGUAAAGCUCUGUUGUUAGGGAAGAACAAGUGCAAGAGUAACUGCUUGCACCUUGACGGUACCUAACCAGAAAGCCACGGCUAACUACGUGCCAGCAGCCGCGGUAAUACGUAGGUGGCAAGCGUUGUCCGGAAUUAUUGGGCGUAAAGGGCUCGCAGGCGGUUUCUUAAGUCUGAUGUGAAAGCCCCCGGCUCAACCGGGGAGGGUCAUUGGAAACUGGGAAACUUGAGUGCAGAAGAGGAGAGUGGAAUUCCACGUGUAGCGGUGAAAUGCGUAGAGAUGUGGAGGAACACCAGUGGCGAAGGCGACUCUCUGGUCUGUAACUGACGCUGAGGAGCGAAAGCGUGGGGAGCGAACAGGAUUAGAUACCCUGGUAGUCCACGCCGUAAACGAUGAGUGCUAAGUGUUACGGGGUUUCCGCCCCUUAGUGCUGCAGCUAACGCAUUAAGCACUCCGCCUGGGGAGUACGGUCGCAAGACUGAAACUCAAAGGAAUUGACGGGGGCCCGCACAAGCGGUGGAGCAUGUGGUUUAAUUCGAAGCAACGCGAGAACCUUACCAGGUCUGACAUCUCUGACACCCUAGAGAUAGGCUUUCCCUUCGGGGACAGAGUGACAGGUGGUGCAUGU
rnacentral:rRNA from 1 species